rnacentral:rRNA from 1 species
UACGUAGGGUCCGAGCGUUGUCCGGAUUUAUUGGGCGUAAAGAGCGUGUAGGCGGCUAGGUAGGUCCGUUGUGAAAACUCGAGGCUCAACCUCGAGACGUCGAUGGAAACCAUCUAGCUAGAGUCCGGAAGAGGAGAGUGGAAUUCCUGGUGUAGCGGUGAAAUGCGCAGAUAUCAGGAAGAACACCCGUGGCUAAGGCGGCUCUCUAGUACGGUACUGACGCUGAGACGCGAAAGCGUGGGGAGCGAACAGG